GCCAGGGUAGGGCCUCGAGCUGGGGGGCAGUGAGGAUGGGAAACGCUCCCAGCCCCAGUCAGCGGCUCCCGGGGGGGUGGGGGUUCAGUGAAUGAGUCAAGCGGCUUUUGUUCCUCUUGUUUUCGCUCAUUCCGUGAAGGAUUUCUCUUGACUCAUGAUUUCCCAACCAGCUCCUUCUGCAGCUUAAGAAAGCAAGAGUGAAUAAUUGCUCUGGUUUUUUGCUGCUUGGGUUUUUUCCUUCAUUACAGGAAUGUGUAAACACCCUGGGUUUUCAGAGACCGGCUGCCAAACCCCGCGUCGGAGGCUCCUCCUGCUUUCGGGCAAUGGCUGGCAUCCUCGCUGGGGGAACUGGGCUGACCCUGCUGGCGAGGGCUGACCCUCACCAAGUCGUCAAGGACCCUGGCCUGGGAGAGGUGGUGGAGGCCAUGCCAGAACUUCUUACCCGUCUGUUAUGGGCUGAAUCGUGUUCCCCUCAAAAUGCAUAUGUUGAAGGCCUAAUCUCCAGGACCUCAGAACGCGGCUGUUGCUGGAGAUAAGGUCUUUGAAGACGUGAUUAAGUUAGAAUGAGGUCAUCAGGGUGGGUCCUGAUCCACUAGGCCUGGUGUCUUUACAAGAAGAGGAGAUCAGGACACAGACACGCACAGAGGGACGACCACGUGAGGACACAGGGAGAGGACGGCCAUCUGCCGGCCAAGGAGGGAGGCCCCCGGAGAAACCAACGUGCUGACACCUUGGUCUUGUACUUCCAGCCUCCAAGACCCUGCGGUUUAAGGCCCUGGCUUGUGGCGCUUUGUUACAGCCACCUGAGCUGACUUAUACAGCAUCCUUGCCCUCUCUGUGCCCAGGAGAGGAGCCUUCCCUGCCCCCUUACCACACCCAUGACUGGGCAGUAAAUCCCCACGGCUGGGCGAGGCUGACAGCCCCAGUCUCCUUGUGCUCCAGCUCUGGGGAGAUGCUGGGGGGCAGGUAUCUCUACUGCUCAGCAGCCCUAGGUGGGAGGCAUGAGGGAGCAGAGAGGCCUAGGUGGGCAAGCGAGCCCAGCAGAAUCCCACACGGAGAAUGCGGGUGAGAAGGAGCCUGUGCCAUCUGCCUCGUGUUCUGGGGGGACUCACACUCCCUGGCUUUCCCGGUUGUCCCCUUGCACUCAGAAGUGGCAUGGUGCAGGGCCGGGAACGAACAGCUGGACGCACACAGAUCGGCUUCUCAUGAAGUCUCCAUUUCACGUGUGGCCUUCUGCCGCGGCCCCUGCUCCUCUCAGCUGCCUUGUGAGGGAAGUCACCCCCGGACAGAGCCAGAAGUUCUGGGAAGAGAACUGAAGGACCUUCGUCACUGCCACCCACCGCCUUCUCCACCAAGACGCCCCUGACCGCUAUCACAGGCCACAACAGAGAAUGCACAACGGAACACACCCGUCCUCUCCGUCUAUCCCUCCUCGCGGAAAGUCAGAGUGAGGAUGCCAAAGGGGCUUAGGUUCCAUGCCAGGUCUGAGCUUCGGUGGCGGUCCUGUGCCAGAGGCCUGACAGGGGCCCUAAGUCCAAUGACUGGGGUCCUUAUAAGAAGAGGGAAAUCUGGCCAGAGGCCGUGUGACAACAGAGGCAGAGAUGGAGGGAUGCGGUCACAGCCCAGGGAUGUCUGGAGCCCCCAAAAGCUUGAAGAAGCAGGAAGGAUCCCCCUAGAGCUUCCGAGGGAGCCUGGCCCUGCAACACCUGGAUUUCAGAUGCUGCCUCCAAAACUGUGAGAGAAUCAAUUCUGGUUUUUAAGCCUCCCAGUUUGUGUUAAUUUGCUAUGGCAGCCACAGGAAACUAAUAAAGGGCCAUGGCGGGGCCUUCUGUGUGGUGAGGUUGGCCUGGCCAUCAUAGGAUGAUGAGCAGCAUCCCUGGCCUCAACCCACUGGAUGCCAGUAGAACUCCUCCCAUCCCCCCACCAAGUUAUGACAACGCAAAAUGCCUCCAGACACUGCCAAGGCUUGUGGAGCCUUUUUGGGGCAAACAGUCAGUGCCUUCCAAACGCAUCUGGCUGCCAAAGGAGGUCCCGACCAAAGAGAGAAAGGAGGGCCCGGCUUUGGAGCGUGCUUACACCCCAUGUCUGUGCAUCAGCCCGUGGUCAGGGAGCUGGGAGCAGACCUGCCUCCUAUCUUCUCUCUGGUCUGGGCUGCAACAGAGGAGACGAGGGGACUCAGGUUCGAGUCCCACUGCUGCAGAGUCAAAGCCACAUUCCCACAGCCUCCUGCGUGUGGGGUGUGUGCUGAGAGAAGGAGAGGAAGACUCUGAAAUCCCCCCGCUCUGGCCUGCCAGGUGCAGGCGGUCAUGGGCUUGUGGGGAAACAUGGGGAUGCUUGUGGAAUGUCACUGAGGGCCUUCAGGCAAACCCCUUCACUGUGGAGGGGGCACCUUAGGGCAGAGCCCCAGGAAGGGGUGGCCAUGGAGCCUCCCGUGCCCCAGCUGGCUGGUCCAGGCUCUCCACCCUCGACCGACCGCCCAGAGCUGGGUUGCAGAGGGCCUGGCUCCUGGUGGCCACUCCUGAAAGCAGACCCUUGGGACAGCUCUCGCAUCUGCAUGCUCUCUGGGGACACCGGGGGACAGGCCCUCCAGGGCUCCAAGUCCACCUUUGCUUCGGGAGGCCCAGGCUGGCUCCAUCGAAGGUGUGGAGCCCCAGGAAUGAGGUUUCCUUGCACAUGGUCUUCAGUUACUUCCCCGGAUCCCCAGGUGGGAUGCAGCUUAAGCUCACUUCCUCCUGUCUCGUCAACAGCGAUGACGGGAAACAGCUCCUCCACUUCCGGGCAUUGCUAGAACAUGAGGUCACCCUCGUCCUCUCCUCCCAGCCUCGUCCUCCCAGCGGUGUCCGGGUGCCUCUGCUCUGAACGCUUGCAGAGACCUCUCAACCUUCCCAAGUGAGGACGGGGCACAGCCUGCCCCCAGGACCCGGUCCCUCACCCGGCCUGCGUCCCGAGGGGCAGGAGGGGGACUCAGCCCCUGUUCAGUCUCUUAGGUGCCUCAGCACGUGCUCCUUGUCACCUCGUCUCCACUGCAGGGACAGCCUUUUUCUCCCCAGCUCCUGCUUUGCCGAGUGGAGAGCUGGUGCAGUGUCGUGGCAGGAUGCGGUGAGAGGUCAGCCUUGAGAUCAGAAGGACAUCUGGUGAUCUGGGGACACCUCCCCCUGCCCAAGGAGCUCGGCACAUACCCGCCACGGACCUGAGUCUGCCGUGUGCACAAUGGAGAGAAACGACCAUCACGAGGGGCACAAUUACCUCUCAGGCCGUGGCCCCAGCCCUCACCUGGGCACCGAGUUCAACCCCUAACAACAGAGUCAGCCACGGGCGGAGGACACACAACGUCCGGGCCCUCUCCUCAGAGCCUCCCAAGUGCUGAAUAAAUAAACUUCUCAGGAAGCGAUGAGAGUGCCGUCAGCUGUGCCAUGGCCCUGCAGAGGGGGUCACCAAUUGAGUGUGUG
ensembl:lncRNA